GACGAACGCUGGCGGCGUGCUUAACACAUGCAAGUCGAACGGAAAGGCCCUGCUUUUGUGGGGUGCUCGAGUGGCGAACGGGUGAGUAACACGUGAGUAACCUGCCCUUGACUUUGGGAUAACUUCAGGAAACUGGGGCUAAUACCGGAUAGGAGCUCCUGCUGCAUGGUGGGGGUUGGAAAGUUUCGGCGGUUGGGGAUGGACUCGCGGCUUAUCAGCUUGUUGGUGGGGUAGUGGCUUACCAAGGCUUUGACGGGUAGCCGGCCUGAGAGGGUGACCGGCCAAAAUGGGACAGGGAAAACGCCCAGACCCCCACGGGGGGGAAGAGGGGGGGAUAUUGACAAAAGGGGGGGAGGCCGGGGGAGGAACCGCCGGUGGGGGAAGAAGGGCUUUGGGGUUUAAACCCGCUUCCCCUGUGGAGAAGGGGGAGGGGAGGGAAAUGGGAAAAGAAGCACCGCCAAAUACGUG
rnacentral:rRNA from 1 species